AACGAACGCUGGCGGCGGGGUUUAGGCAUGCAAGUCGAGCGAGAGAAGCGCAAGCUGAGUACAGCGGCGUAAGGGUGAGUAAUAGGUAGUCAACGUACCGGGCAGACGCGAAUAACUUCCCGAAAGGGAUUGUAAUGCGCGAUGAGAUCACGGGCACCACGGUGCAUGGGAUCAAAGGUCGGGGAUCCUUCGGGACCUGGCGCUGUCUGAGCGGACUACCUCUGAUUAGCUAGUUGGCGGGGUAACGGCCCACCAAGGCGAUGAUCAGUAGCCGGGCCUGAGAGGGGUGUCCGGCCACACUGGGGACUGAGACGCUGCCCAGACUCCUACGGGAGGCUGCAGUCGCGAAUCAUUCACAAUGGACGCAAGUCUGAUGAUGCCACGCCGCGUGCGGGAUGAGGGCCCUCUGGGUUGUAAACCGCUGUCAAGGAAGGGGAACCGCGGAACGUAAACAGCGUUCCGUCUGACUGCUUUCGUAAAGGAA
rnacentral:rRNA from 1 species